CUUUCAAAAUGAAACGACUCUCGGCAACGGAUAUCUCGGCUCUCGCAUCGAUGAAGAACGCAGCC
rnacentral:rRNA from 1 species